AGUUGUGUUAGCCUGCUUUUGUUUGGCUUUUUUUUCUCUGUUUUAUGGAGAAGGAGAGACAAGGUGUAUAUGCAAGAAGCAGAGGUUGUAUUUGGGAAGUAAACCCUUGAGCAUUUAGGGAAACGUGAUGAGUCAAAUUUAGACUCCGGUACCAACUGAUGUAGGAAAAAAAAGAGGUUGAUAAGAAAACUUAGAGAAAAUUUUAUUAAUUUUAUCAAGAACAACCUGGAAGUUUUGGAUCUCAAUAAUUAAAACAAUAUUUCAAUAUUGGAAUAAUAAUCAUAAAUAAUUUACUUAAUGAUCAAGUUAAAAUACUUUAUUCAUAGGCACCCAAAUACAUUAAAAAUCGGAGGUUUAGGAAAACCUAGUAAAUAAGAAAAUAAAUUAAAUAGAAAGAAUUAAGAAAAUAGGAAAUUUAGGAAUUAGAAAGAUAAAUCUUCCUAUUACCUUUUUUUGUAAAACUUUCCAAAACUUGGAAAAGGAAAUUAAUUCUUCUUAUUUCUUUUAAAUAGCUUAUCUAAACGUUUAUGCAUCACAUCUAGUAUCCUCUAUUAUUAAAAUAUAUCCAUUUAGAAGCUUUUAUUUCUGCAGCACAUCUGGUAUUUUAUGUGUAGUCCAGGAGAUAUUUAGCGUUGUUAUAACACGAAAUAACCUGGAAAAACAUUUCAGCUAUUUAAAUGGCUAGGAAUGAGGGCACUAAGCAAAUGAGUUGAUUCUUUCUUGGCCAUAGAUUCACUAUGACUUCCAUGUGCAGGUAUGGUGUUUUAAAGAUACGGGAAUACUGCCUAGAUACUAUUGCUUGUAACUUUGAGAUGUUUGCAGAGACCCACGAAUUCCGAGAUAUGCUUUUGACCUUGCCUCCACCAUCUGGAGAUUCCUCACUUCGGACCACUGUUCCUAGUGCUCCAGGUGCUGUGGCAAAUGCGGAACAGGCUAAUCUUCUUGACGAUUUACGUGAGAAAUGGCUUGAAGUUGAAGCUGCUGAGCUUGACAAGAGAGACGAAAGUGCCUUACUUUUUGACAAGCGCCUAGAGAUGCUUAUGGUUGUGGCUGAACAAGAAAAACGUGCUGCUUCAGUCGAUGACAUUUAAGGUUGCCUUGAAUGAUCAUUUAUUCUUUUGCUUGUUCUUGUGGCUCAAAUAAUAGAAGAAAGCAUUUGUGUUUCAGCACUUGUCCCCAGAGACACUGCUGCUGCUGUCCUGGCUCCUCUCCCCAGCUUUUGAGUUUUUUUUUUUUUUUUCCUUUCCGCCAAUUGGGAAGCCAACUAUAUUCAUUAACCCAUGGUUUUUUGUAUAAGCCCUAAGAUGUCCGAAGAAACUUCAGUUAUUGCAUUACAGCGAUGUAAAUCCAUUACUUACUGGAUAAUCAAAUGGCACGUUUUGACUAGUAAUUCUGGGCAAGAAA